GACGAACGCUGGCGGCGUGCCUAAUACAUGCAAGUAGGACGCGGUUGCGAACGGGAGAGUAACGCGUAGGUAACUACCUAUUAGAGGGGGAUAACUAUUGGAAACGAUAGCUAAUACCGCAUACUAGUGGGUGGACCUGGUUUGUAUUAGCUAGUAGGUAGGGUAAUGGCCUACCUAGGCAAUGAUACAUAGCCGGCCUGGGAGGGGGGUCGGCCACCCUGGGAAUGGGGCAAGGGCCCGGACUCUUACGGAGGCAACAGUAGGGGAAUUUCGGCCAUGGGGGGAACCCUGACCGAGCAACGCCGCGGGAGUUAAGAAGGUUUUCGGAGCGUAAAGCUCUGUUGUUAAGGAAGCGUUACUUAAACAGAAAGGGACGGCUAACUACGUGCCAGCAGCCGCGGUAAUAC
rnacentral:rRNA from 1 species